rnacentral:rRNA from 1 species
AUGGCCUGCGCGUGCUAUACAUGCAAGUCGAGCGGACCGACGGGAGCUUGCUCCCUUAGGUCAGCGGCGGACGGGUGAGUAACACGUGGGUAACCUGCCUGUAAGACUGGGAUAACUCCGGGAAACCGGGGCUAAUACCGGAUGCUUGAUUGAACCGCAUGGUUCAAUCAUAAAAGGUGGCUUUUAGCUACCACUUGCAGAUGGACCCGCGGCGCAUUAGCUAGUUGGUGAGGUAACGGCUCACCAAGGCGACGAUGCGUAGCCGACCUGAGAGGGUGAUCGGCCACACUGGGACUGAAACACGGCCCAAACUCCUACGGGAGGCAGCAGUAGGGAAUCUUCCGCAAUGGACGAAAGUCUGACGGAACAACGCCCCGUGAGUGAUGAAGGUUUUCGGAUCGUAAAACUCUGUUGUUAGGGAAGAACAAGUACCGUUCGAAUAGGGCGGGACCUUGACGGUACCUAACCAGAAAGCCACGGCUAACUACGUGCCAGCAGCCGCGGUAAUACGUAGGUGGCAAGCGUUGUCCGGAAUUAUUGGGCGUAAAGCGCGCGCAGGCGGUUUCUUAAGUCUGAUGUGAAAGCCCCCGGCUCAACCGGGGAGGGUCAUUGGAAACUGGGGAACUUGAGUGCAGAAGAGGAGAGUGGAAUUCCACGUGUAGCGGUGAAAUGCGUAGAGAUGUGGAGGAACACCAGUGGCGAAAGCGACUCUCUGGUCUGUAACUGACGCUGAGGCGCGAAAGCGUGGGGAGCGAACAGGAUUAGAUACCCUGGUAGUCCACGCCGUAAACGAUGAGUGC